rnacentral:SRP_RNA from 1 species
GGUGAGUCCCGUACGGUCAGCUCCCUCUGAACCCCGUCAGGGCCGGAAGGCAGCAGCGGUAAGAGGU